GCAGGCAAUGCGGGGCUGUGCGUUGUCUGGAGCAAGCCAAGACCGGGAAACCAGUAAUUACCCGGUCCAAGUUUUGUUCCUUCCGACAGCCUGGCGGAUUAAUUACUCGUUCCAUUUCCUUGUAUACGGUAAGUAUGUGGAAUUAGUAACUCCUAUGACAGCAAUUUUUUUUUCAAGACAAACCUUAUGAAUAACACUCCGGUCUCGGUAUGUAUAUUUCAAAAAA
rnacentral:lncRNA from 1 species